GUGGCUCUUUUCUGAGUCUUCCUUCCCAGGCUCAGGGACGUGCCCUUGCCAGGGACAUGCUCUGCUUAUGGCGAGAGGGUGGCAGAAAUUCAGUAUCCCUUUGAGCUCCAGCUCAGAGCUGGCGACUUGGGUUCCAUGGGCCACAACAGGUCGUGUGGCCCAGUGCCCCCGCCGGAGGGAGUGGAAGUGCCACAGCCAGGGGCAGGCUGCAGGGCGUUAGCCCUCCUGUGGGGAAGGGUGACCAAAUAACGGGAGCACUGCUGUGAUCACCCAAGGGAGAAAUGAGCCUGUUUCGUGCUCUGUUUGGGGUGAAGGUGCCAGACCUUCUGGCUUCUUGGGCCCUGUGUCUUCACUUCCAGCCUUGGCCAUUGGAUGGUUUGGGACCAUCUGCUGUGGCUGCCUGAGCUUGGCCCCCUGGGUCCUCCCCUAAGCACCAUGUCCUGUUGUUCCAUGUCCAGCUCGCCGCACCUCCUGAGUAGUUGACAUCCAACCCUCCUCUGUCUGCGUUAUGGCGGUGCAUCCUGGCUAGGCCUCCCCCGCCUCCGUCUCUCACAUGGCUGCUCGGGUGGUGUGUGCCGAACAGGGGUUCUCACCCAGGGCUGAUUUGUCUGGAGACAUUUUCUCUUGUUGCAACUGGGAAUAGUUGCAGCUUGGCAUUGAGUGCGUGGAGGCCAGGGGUGCCUCUGAACAUCCAUGAUGCCCAGGAUGCCCAUGGUCCAUGUGCCAGGGGUGAGGAGCAGGCCCAGAGCCUGUCUGCCAGGCGCUCUGCUGCCCUGACUCCUCCCUGGCUCCUGGAGCCCCCCAGACCUCUUUCCAUGGCCCUUGCUGCUCACCCCUCCUCCCCUAAAACAAGCAGAGCUGGGCCAGGGGGGCGGCGGGCUUCCUUCCACCCCUUUGAUCCAGCGGGGGCCUGCCCAGGGCCUAAGCCCCCUCUUAGCCAGGGAGUCUCGCCCUGCCUCCCGCAGGGCUCUGCAUAGCCUCAGCUUGUCAGAUUUCCCUCUGCACUGGGAAGUCCUUGAGGGCAGCAGACACAUUUGUCUUCUCAGCGUCUCCUGCGGCAUUUUGUGCAUGAACAUGAGCAGAGGUGAUCGGCUUGGGCUCCGCGGCUGAACAGCAGCAGGAUCAGCUCCUUUAUUGGUUUGCCCAUGUUGGCUGCUUCCAGCUACACAAAGGUUUUCAUUUUCAUGGAUUCUCUUUAUGUUCGCUCCCUUAAAGGUUAAAACAUUCUUCUGGAGUAGAUGAUACAUUCAAGGGCUUGCAGGGCACAGAAAGCGCAGCAUCGCCGUCUGUUUCCUCCUUCCCUCCUCUGCCCCGAAAGCCUGGUCCCCUGUCCCUCCUUCCAGAGAAGCUUUGUAUCUCUGCAAGCAAACAUGUGCAUGUAUUCUUUUUCCCCUACUCUUAUUUUUUGCCUUUAGGGCCCCACCAGAGGCAUACAGAAGUUCCCAGGCUAGAGGUCCAACAGGAGUUACAGCUGCCAGCCUACGCCACAGCCACAGCAAUGCCAGAUCCGAACUGCAUCGGAGAGCUACACCGCAACUCGCAGCAACUCCAGAUCCUUAACCCGCUGAGUGAGGCCAGGAAUCGAACCUGCAUCCUCAUGGAUGCUCUUCAGAUUCGUUUCCGCUAAGCCAUGAUGGGAACUCCUUAGCCUUGCCUUUUUAGCUGAAUUGUGCGGGAGGUCACUCCAUAUCAGUACAUUUUCCAGUUCAGUCUUUCUCAUAACUGUGUAGUGUUUAGCUGUGUGGAGGUGCUGUAACUUAUCGAACCAGGCCCUGCUGCUGAAUAUUGUAUCUUGUGCAGUUACAAAUAAGGCGCAGGUACCACCCUGUGCAGACUUGUAGGUGUGCUUGGGGCCCAUCCCUAGAAACAACAUCUUUCUUUCUUUUUCUUGUCUUUUUUGUCUUUUUAGGGCCGCACCCACGGCAUAUGGAGGUUCCCAGGCUAGGGGUCGAAUUCAAACUACAGCUGCCGGCCUGCGACACAGCCAUAGCAACGCCAGAUCCGAGCUGCAUCUGGGACCACACCACAGCUCAUGGCAACACCGGAUCCUUAACCCACUGAGCGAGGCCAGGGAUCAAACCCGCAACCUCAUGCUUCCUAGUGGGAUUCGUUAACCACUGAGCCACGACGGGAACUCCGCUUUUGUUUCUUUUUUUUUUUUAAACUUUUUUCUUUUUUUUUUUUGUCUUUUUGCCAUUUCUUGGGCCGCUCCCGCGGCAUAUGGAGGUUCCCAGGCUAGGGGUCUAAUCGGAGCUGUAGCCGCCGGCCUAUGCCAGAGCCACAGCAACGCGGGAUCCGAGCCGUGUCUGCAACCUACACCACAGCUCACAGCAACGCCGGAUCGUUAACCCACUGAGCAAGGGCAGGGACUGAACCCGCAACCUCAUGGUUCCUAGUCGGAUUCGUUAACCACUGCGCCACGACGGGAACUCCCCACUUUUGUUUCUUAAUGUCUUUAACUCUGUACUUUCUUUGGCCGUUUAUUUCUACCAGUUAUAUAUCUAUAUUUUAUUUAUUUUUAUUUUUUUUCUUUAAUUUUUUUUUUUUUUUUUUGCUUCUUCAGAACUUCACCCACGACAUAUGGAGGUUCCCAGGCUAGGGGCCAAAUUGGAGCUACAGCUGCUGGCCCAUCCCACAGCCACAGCAACGCAGGAUCUGAGCCACGUCUGUCAACAGACGGUGGACAGAGUGUAGGUCUCCAUACAAUGGGGUAUAAUUUGGCAAUAAAAAGAAGUGCAGCACUGAUUCAUGCUACAGUGUGGAUGCAUCUUGAAGCGUUGUGCUGAGUGAAAGAAGCUGGAUGCAGAGGUCCAUGUGUCAUACAGUUCUGCUGACAGGAAGGACCCGGUGGGCAAAUUCAUAGACGCAGAAGGUAGGUUAGUUGUUGCCAGGGGCUGGGA
ensembl:lncRNA